AGUCGAACGGUAACGGGUCCUUCGGGAUGCCGACGAGUGGCGAACGCGUGAGUAAUAUAUCGGAACGUGCCCAGUAGUGGGGGAUAACUGCUCGAAAGAGCAGCUAAUACCGCAUACGACCUGAGGGUGAAAGGGGGGGAUCGCAAGACCUCUCGCUAUUGGAGCGGCCGAUAUCAGAUUAGCUAGUUGGUGGGGUAAAGGCCUACCAAGGCAACGAUCUGUAGUUGGUCUGAGAGGACGACCAGCCACACUGGGACUGAGACACGGCCCAGACUCCUACGGGAGGCAGCAGUGGGGAAUUUUGGACAAUGGGCGCAAGCCUGAUCCAGCAAUGCCGCGUGCAGGAAGAAGGCCUUCGGGUUGUAAACUGCUUUUGUCAGGGAAGAAAUCUUCUGGGCUAAUACCCCGGGAGGAUGACGGUACCUGAGGAAUAAGCACCGGCUAACUACGUGCCAGCAGCCGCGGUAAUACGUAGGGUGCGAGCGUUAAUCGGAAUUACUGGGCGUAAAGCGUGCGCAGGCGGCUUUGCAAGACAGAUGUGAAAUCCCCGGGCUCAACCUGGGAACUGCAUUUGUGACUGCAAGGCUAGAGUACGGCAGAGGGGGAUGGAAUUCCGCG
rnacentral:rRNA from 1 species